GGCUCCGGCCCUAUCAGACUGAAGGCGCCCGAUCUCGUCUGAUCUCGGAAGCUAAGCAGGGUCGGGCCAGGUUAGGAUCUUGGAUGGGAGACCACCUGGGAAUCCCGGGUGCUCGAGGCU
rnacentral:rRNA from 1 species